UACGUAGGGGGCAAGCGUUGUCCGGAAUCAUUGGGCGUAAAGCGCGUGUAGGCGGCUUUGCAAGUCGGGUGUGAAAGCCCUCAGCUUAACUGAGGAACUGCCUGUCAGACUGGAAGGCUUGAGACCGGGAGAGGUGAGUGGAAUUCCCAGUGUAGCGGUGAAAUGCGUAGAUAUUGGGAGGAACACCAGUGGCGAAGGCGGCUCACUGGACCGGAACUGACGCUGAGGCGCGAAAGCGUGGGGAGCAAACAGG
rnacentral:rRNA from 1 species